AGUCAUGGAGGUGGUGACAUGGAUGGCAGCACCAGAAAAAAGAAAAGAGAAAGGGAAAGAAUAAAGUGGCCAAGGCAGAGCUUCGCCUAUAAAAUAGGAUUGUGAAGGAAAAGGUCUCGAGUCAGUCUCUCAACAAAUGGUAAGGUUUGGCAUAGACGAUGGACGUACUAGCUACAACAAAGAGGAUAGGUGACUAAAGGAGGAGGUCUGAUCAAUGUCAGAUCUCCAAAAUAGGAAAAAGGAAUGGGGAGCUUUGUCUUGAAAUAGGACUAUCCUACUAUGCUCAAAAUUGACCACUACUUUUGUGAUGAGAUUGAGCAAGCACACCCACAUCUUGGUCUCAGUAGGUAUGAGAGGAGAGGGGACAGUGCUCCAGAAGGAUCAUCAAACACGAUAUGAACCAAUUUGACCACUAAGAGUAAGAUCAAACAAGG
rnacentral:lncRNA from 1 species